UACAGAGGGUGCGAGCGUUAAUCGGAAUUACUGGGCGUAAAGCGCACGUAGGUGGCGACGUAAGUCGGGUGUGAAAUCCCUGGGCUCAACCUGGGAACGGCAUUCGAGACUGUGUUGCUGGAGUACGGAAGAGGAGGGCGGAAUUCCCGGUGUAGCGGUGAAAUGCGUAGAUAUCGGGAGGAACAUCAGUGGCGAAGGCGGCCCUCUGGUCCAGUACUGACACUCAA
rnacentral:rRNA from 1 species